AGUGAACGCUGGCGGCGUGCUUAAUACAUGCAAGUCGAACGGAGUGGCGCGCGGGUGAGUAAUGUAUAGAUAAUCAGCCCCACACUAGAGGCCAACAGUUGGAAGAGACUGAUAAUACUCUCUAGUGUAGGAUGAGGCUAUAUAGUAUCAGCUAGUUGGUGAGGUAAUGGCUCUCCAAGGAUAUGAAGCAUAACUGGUCAGUGAGGAUGAUCAGUCACACUCGAAGUGAGACACCGUCCAGACACCUUCGAGAGGGAACAGUAGCGAAUUUUGCUCAAUGGGUGAAACUGUAAAGCAACAUCGCCGCGUGGAGGAAGACACUUUGCGGGGCGUAAACUCCUUUUGUUAGAGAAGCGGUACCUAACGAAUAAGCACCGGCUAACUCCGUGCCAGCAGCCGCGGUAAUAC
rnacentral:rRNA from 1 species